ACUCCUACGGGAGGCAGCAGUGGGGAAUAUUGCACAAUGGGGGAAACCCUGAUGCAGCCAUGCCGCGUGUGUGAAGAAGGCCUUCGGGUUGUAAAGCACUUUCAGUAGGGAGGAAGGUAGUGUAGUUAACACCUGCAUUAUUUGACGUUACCUACAGAAGAAGCACCGGCUAACUCCGUGCCAGCAGCCGCGGUAAUACGGAGGGUGCGAGCGUUAAUCGGAAUUACUGGGCGUAAAGCGCAUGCAGGCGGCCUGUUAAGUCAGAUGUGAAAGCCCGGGGCUUAACCUCGGAAUUGCAUUUGAAACUGGCAGGCUAGAGUCUUGUAGAGGGGUUAGAAUUUCAGGUGUAGCGGUGAAAUGCGUAGAGAUCUGAAGGAAUACCAGUGGCGAAGCGGCCCCUGGACAAAGACUGACGCUCAGAUGCGAAAGCGUGGGAGCAAAC
rnacentral:rRNA from 1 species